rnacentral:sRNA from 1 species
AUGAGUCCCAUUAUCUCCCCUUUACCCACUGUUGCAACUGAGAAAAAGGUUCAAACUCUAAUAAAUCUGGAGUUGGGAGUGUGGAGAGCUGACUGUGUCAAUCAACUCUUCUUGCCACAAGAAGCAGCUGCCAUAUUGAGUAUUCCUCUGAGUCGUCGUUGUCCUCCAGACAAAAUUGCAUGGGGCUGUACUCCUUCAGGUGUUUUUAGUACAAGUAGUGCUUAUAAACUCCUAGCCUCUAGGGUGGAAGACAGCCAAGCAGAAACUUCAAACCGAUCUGCUCAGAAACAGUUUUGGAAGGCAAUAUGGGGGCUUCGAGUUCCUAACAAGUUUAAGCAUUUCAUCUGGCGGACGUGUAAUAACGCUCUUCCUACUAUGAGUAAUAUGUUCCGGAGAAAUAUCACACCAUCUGAUCAGUGUGAGCUUUGCAACCUUUACCCCGAAGACACGUUGCAUGCUAUCUAGUUAUGCAGAGAAGUGGAGACCGUUUGGAGCUCAUCCCAUUGCUUUAAUCAAGCCAAUCUCCCCCGACCCCAAAGUUUUAGCGACUUACUCUCCCUUUUUUUGCAGGUCACAGAUGACUAUAGAAAGCAAGUGUUUUCCAUUGCAACGUCACUGUUGUGGAACCGACGAAAUGCCAUUCACUUCGGUUAACCUGUGCAAGCUACGGACCAGAUUCUAUCUACAGCAGGAAAUUUGCUGCAAGAUUUCCUGGCAACCUAGCAGAUUGAACCGGUCAUCCCAUCACCUCCUACAUUGCAACACUGGACCAAACCUAACUUACACUACCAUAAAGUCAACUUCGACGCUGCAGUGUUCAGGGAGGCGCAUUUGGCUGGUAUUGGUGUCGUUAUUCGAGACUGGAGAGGCGAGUUUGUUGCUGCAUUAUCUUCCCCAAUGUUGCUGACUCACUUGGUUGCUGAAAUGGAAGCUCUAGCGUGCCGGAAAGCUGUUGAAUUUGCUAUAGAAAUUGGAGUUCAGAGACUAAUUUUUAAAGGGGACUCAGCUAUGGUUAUCAAUGCUUUAAACCAAAACAAUGCUGGUCUUUCAUCCUACAGUGUCGUCAUAGAAGACAUCCGCAAUCAAGCUUUGGUUUUUGAGUCACGUGUAUUUGCCCAUACUAAUUGAGUUUGUAAUUGUGUGGCUAAUGCUAUUGCAAAAAAAGUAAAAGCUUUUAGGAGUGCUCAGGUCUGGUUGAACUGCCCACCUAAUGACAUAGAGUACUUGCUUAUGUUUGAUGUUCACUGAACUGUUGUUUUUAUUCUAUUCAAUAAUAGCCCAGUUUUAUAGGCUGGUUUCUCAACAAAAAAAAAAGAAAAAAAGAAAUUAUGCCUAAUUAAAUGUCACAUGUAUAUAUACUGCUUUUAAUAAUUUUAUUAACAAUCUUUUAAUACACGACUUUCAUUCAAUCUAGGUUAAAAUUUAGUUUGUUUCUCAAUAAAAUUAUAUAUUACUAGUCCCAUCAUGAGUUUUUUUUUUUUUUUUUUGGGUUUAUUGUCAUUAUUUUUCUUUUCUUUUCUUUUUUUAAAAAAAUUUGAAUACUUUUUUUUUUUUGGAUAAGUUUAUUUUAAAGAUAUGGAUUAGUAGAAAAAUGGUAUUUUAAAUGGAGUUAAAAAUAUAUUUGUACCGGGUUAUUCUCAAGUUUUUUCCCUGUUAAACAUAAGAUUUAUAGGUAUUUUUGAACCAAAAAACUAGUUCAAAGAGAGGAAUUCUCUUAUAAAUAGUAUUUCUGAAUCAUAUAAAAGUUCACUUCAAAGAGAAAAAUCCUCUUAUAAAUAGUAUAAAUGUAAAUUCAAAACCAAAAUCAUACUAUACACAGACCUCCAAGUAAAAUAUAUUUCUGUUAGAAGAUGUAACAUGAUUCAUACAUGGUUCAUUUUUAAUACUAAUUAUUAAAUCUUGAUAUUUAUUUUAGUUAUUUAAUAUUAUAAAUAAUAAAUAGUACUACUUAUUAAAUCUCUACAUUUAUUUAAUAUUAUAAAUAAUAAAUAAAUACACAACUGAUUAAGAUUUUAAAUUGGAACAGUUAUGUGAUCACUCUCUGACUUCUUGAUGGAAUGAACCCCAAAAAAAAAAUUAAAACAUAAAACACAAAGGGACCCCAAACAAUAUUUUGAGCGGACAUAUAAUUUCCAUCAAAGGGAUUUAUCAAGCUAUUCAUAGGUAUAAGAAUACUCCCUUAAGAAUCAAUUUGUAACUGAGUAUUUUCUUCAUAGUUUCUGAAAAAUCAUAACUGUAGUUAUGUUCUAACUUUUCCCAAAAUUAAAAAUCUCUAUAUAAAUCUCAAAAGAUCUUGAUGCAUUUUUAGGUUUGUAAUAUUUAAUUUAAACCUUAAAAUUGACCCAAAUACUUUCAUUCUAGGGAUAAUUACAACCAAAAAAAAAAAAAUUGGUUUGAGGUUUGGAAAAUAUACUUUCAUUUUCCUAGGUUUAUAAUUAACUAGUUUCCUCCUCAAAUAUACAUGAUUUCUUACACUUAUAUUAUUUUGUUAACCAUAUAAUAACAGAUUGUUAGUCUCUUCAGUGGUUAGGUAAUGGUAGCUACCAUUACCUAACCACUGAGUUAUUAAAAUCCCAAAUUACCCUUAAGCAGUUUAUAAAAAAAAAAAAUUAUUACGAAGAAACUACAUCUCAAAAUUUUUUUUUCUUUUUUUUUUUGAGAAAAAACUACAUCUCAAUUAAGUUGAUUGUGGUGCUAUUUUUACUCACUUGCUAAUUAGUUAAGUAAUAAGAUUUUUUUUUUUUUUUAAAUAUGAGUGAUUAUGACGAUGAUGAUAAUUUAAGUGCCUUUGGAUCAUCAUCUUCAUAAUUGACAUGUAAAAUUAGGUGCCUUUACAUUGAAAUUAAAUUUUAUACUUAAUAUAAAGAAAACACAACAAAUAAAUAACCCACUGGCAAUUUUUUUUUUUUUUAAUUGUUUAACAAAUAAUCAUUGGUUAUUUGUGAGAUUGAAGAAAAUAAAGAGAGGGAGAGAGGAAUAAUGUGAGGAAAGUGAACCUGAGAUAAGACUUGAACUUUUCUUUUUCUAAUGAAUCCCUAUGUGGGUAUUUAAGUCAUUUUAUUUUGAAGCUACAAUUUAUUGUAAUUUCUUCUACGUAAUAAUUUUGACAAGGUUAAAACUAUCUAUAAAAGAAUAGAAUGAGCAAAGUAUAUUUCAAAAAAUUAUGGGAAGGUUUUUAUAAUUCUCCAUAAAACCUAUCGUUUUCCUAAUUUGAUUCUAUCAUUUUUUUAUAUUUUUUUAUUAGGGUAUUUCUCACUUUAAGAGUAUUCACACCAAUUCAUGUAAAAUAACAUAAAAUCCAAAAAUCAUUGACAAUAAAUUAUAACUAAUUGAUUACACAAAAUAAGAUUUUGCUAUGGUGUUUGUGCAAACAUACAAGUCACUUGCAACUUAUGAAAAAUGAUUUUUUAUUGUUUCUUUGCAUUCCCCGAAGGUGAAAAAAAAUGAGUAGAUGACGGUUAUUUUGUGUGAAAAAAGAUUAAUAAUUUAAAAAAUCAAGAAAUUUUAAUAUUUUAAUAAACUAGUGUAUAGAAGAGAUAAUCAAAUGUAUGUGUUUUGAAAAUGAUUAGCUAAGAUUUUUUUCAAAAAAAGUGAAUUAUUAUUUUUAAAUAGACAAUAAUUUUUGAAUUAACUAAUAUGAAUGCUCAAUAGUAACCAAAAAUUAUAAUAUAAAUAUAAAUAAUUAUAUAUGUAAAGUGAUUUGUGUAAUCUUCAUCACAAGGAGCAUACUUUCGCCAACUAUAUUUAGCAGACAUGCACAAAAUUACAUUUAAUCUUUUUUCUUUUUCUUUUUUUGAGAAGGAUUAUAGUGAAUCUGGUAUACUUUCGCCAAUAUCAUAUAAAGGGUUGAAAGUUAGAUUUUUUUUCUUGAGCUAGAUAUAAUAAAUUAACAAGAAAUUGACUUGCAGUUUGAGUAUAGUGACAUUCCAGGUAUCCAAAGAAAUAUGUACAGCAUAAGACAUAUUAUAUUUCUUUGAAUCAAACACCACCUACAUCUUCAGAUUUGGCUCACGAACUAUUUGACAGAUAAAACUUUAAUAUUAUUUUUUCCUUAAUUCAAUGUUGAUCUAAAUGAUGGUAAAUGUAGAAAUGGCCAUCUCACUAGAUCAGGGAGGGAACCACCAUUGGACUAGUGGGCAAUGCCGCCCUAAUUUUAUUUUUUAAAUAUUAUUAUAUAUAUAUAUAUAUGUGUGUACUAAUUUUAACAAUUUUGUUAUAUAAAAUUACAUUUUCUUUCCCUUUAACAAUAUCAUUGAUUCUUUUAAGAGUAAUGUUCUCACAAACUUUUUUAUAACAUUUUUACAAACAAUUUCAGUAGCAAAUUCUUAUUAGUUCGCAUAUUGGCACACCACUCAUAUCAUUUUUUUACUUACUAGUAACCACUUAUCACAUCAGUAAUUUUUUUUUUUUUUUAAAAAAAACUUAUAACUCUAGCAUUUUCCUCAUUUUAGUGACCAUAAAAAAAUUAUAAAUCUAAAAUUUAAAACAAAAUAUAAAAGCCAAAAAAAAAAAAAAAAGCUUAGCAAUAAAAAUUACCAGUAAAACUAAAAACAAAAUUAAGCUCAAUUAACUAAUUUUAUAAAAAAUAAAUAACUCUACCCUUUAAAAAAUUAUAAAAAAAAAAAAAUUUUGUUCUUACCCAAAAAAAAAAAAAAAACCUCAGCAACUAAAUAGCAGAAUCAAAGGUUGAAACUACCGUACACAGUUAAUAAUAGUAAAUUCAUCCCUUACCUUAUGGCUUGUUUGGAAGUUUAGAGAGGGAGGAGAGUAGAGGGGAGUAGAGGGGAGGGGAAUAGUGGAGAGGUGAGUAGAGGAGAAUAAUUCUCCUCCACUUUGUUUGGAUGUUUUUAAAAUUAGUAAGAGGGAAUGGAGUAAUUAGCCCUUCCCCUUGUGUAAUUUUGUUAAUAUAAUAGGGGUAAAUUAGGUAAUUUACUUGGUCAAUAGUUUAUGUACUCUACUCCCCCUCCAAAUCUCUCCAAUUUGGGGAAAUUAAAAAUGGGGGGUUAGAGGGAGUUGAAACCCCUCCAAAUCCCUCCAUACCCCUCUCCCUCAUUCCUUAAAAAACUUCCAAACAAGGUAAUUGGAUUACUCUCCCUUCCUCUACUCUACUCCCCCUCUAUUUUUAAACAUCCAAACAGGCUAUUAAAGUUUUAACUCUAUCCCUGGGUACAAACAAACACUGUCCCACAAAAUAUGUGGUGCUACUAUGAAUGAAAUAAGUGUCAUUGUCAAGCAGAGACACGAUGCAAGAUCCACUACGGAGUUAGAAUAAGUUGAUGAUAUUAUCCAAUUAAGAAUCGUUGGACCUUCAAUCAAUAUUUUGGUCUAUGCAGCAAUCUUGUGAGAGUUAAGAUUUUUGAUGGGACGUCUACUUCGGAUUGGCGAAUAAGAUCAUUAAAGAUAUGAUAGAUUUUUUUUUUUUUUUGAGAAAGAAGAUACGAUAGAUUAAUUGCAGUGAUUAUCAUCAAAGUGCCUUGUCGGCAAUCCCUUAAUUCGCUUGGAUAAAUAUCUUCUACGGGUUACACCACUAAUUAAUAUGCAUUGUCUCAUAUUCUAAGGAGAUGUAUAUAAUUAUCUAAUGAGAUAUUUUCUCCUUUGCUUGAAUUUUUUUUUUUUUAAUAAAGAAAGUUGAUGUUUUUAUAUACAUUUUCAAAAGGAAAUAAAAUAUCAAAUAUUCUAUUAUACUUUUUUUUUUUCUCUUUUUAUCAGAGAGUUAUAAACUUUAUUCUAGGAGAAAUAGAAAGUACAUAAAACAUGAAUUCUUCACCAUACAAGUAAAAUAAUUAUCGAUGUUAAAAACAUGUUUUAUUAACAAAUGUGCUGGAUUGUUUCCUUGAUGCACCACAUGUGAAAUUCCAAAAUUUAAGCUAGAUACUAUAAUCGAGUGCUGCUUGGAUGAUAGUCUUAAUAGAGGUAGGAGGAGGGAGUUUCCCAGAUAGAGAAUUAACCUCUGCUGGCUAAGAGUCCCCCUCAAGAAUAAGAUCCUUGAUGCCUGCAUCCACUGCAAACAAAAUGCCUUAUUCAAAGGCAUUGGCUUCAAAUCCCAUUGCACCCAAAGGCACUGAGACUUUCUUACUCAAAGUAGCAACCACGUGCCCUUGAAUAUCUCGAAUAAUAACGCCAAAACCUGCUUCUUUUUGUUGAGACUUGAGAGAACACUGCUUCAUCUAUGUUAGCUUUGUAAAUUAAAACAGCCUUCUGAAUCAGUGUUCGAGUCGCGAUGUUAACUGCUUUGAAUUCUGCGAUAUAUUGGGGAUUUGGGAUGCCCACACUGCUGCACCGCCUUUGCCACUGAUUCUUUAAGUUAACCCAAGCUAGCUACUGUGAUCGUUUUUUCCGAAGUUUCUUUACAACAGUGCCUGUCCUCAACCAAAUUCCAUACCACAUCCAGAAAAUCUACAAAUGGAGCCCCACCCUGUGCUUGGAAAAUAUCUGUAAGGCCAUGGCCCCCCCAAAAUUUUUUAAAAACUUCAUAAUGUAUGCAUAUUUUGCAAUUGUUUAAAAUAUUAGACCUUAAAAUCAAUAUUUGGCCCCUCCAAAAAUAAGAGCUGGCCCCUGCAAAAAAGAAUUGAACAACUAAUUGUUGGGUUCCAAAAAAUAGUUGUUAAGAACAACAAACUAUCCACCUUGUAACAUAAAUAGUUGUUACUUUCAAAUUUUAGUUUUUUCCUCGCUUAAUUGGUAAGUUUUGAUGAGGAGGCAAAAAUGUCCCUCAAAAGCUCGUCCACAAUGCUCGUCCAAGCCAUGGGGAGGUCGUCUACAAAACUUCAACACGAAGGGGAUUCACGUCUUUACCUCCUUCAUUCUGGGGAACAAGGACGAGGCAUUGUGAAAAAGGCCCGUCCGUCCGUAAGGAUGGACGAGCCAUCAUCAUAAUGGCAUCUCGUCUUUGCCAGAGGUAGAACAGACAGGGUGAAAGGUUGCAUCUACUCUCAAUGAGUGCAAUAUUCCAGCAACCGUUCCGCAAUAAAUAAUCAGUUAUAGCAGUUGCGAGCGGUUACUCUCAAAACCCGCAACAACUGGAGAAGUUACAAGGUAACCGUUUUUGCCGAACACUAUAUAAAGGGCACAUCGGCAGAGAGGCGAGGUAUGAAAAAUUCUCCCAAAGAAAAAGAAACAUUUUCUGAGUUGCGCUUUCUUUAGACGACUAGUGACAAUAUUAACUUUGCCAUCGGAGGACCCUGGGCCGGCACCCACCGGUCUCCUCUGAUCUAAUUUUGUUUUACAGGAUUCUCUCCAAGAUCAAGACCCGGGAAUCUUCAGCCCACUGAUUUCUGUAAGCAUAUCAAGUUUUGUUUGUUGAGUUCAGAUAAUAAGUUUUUAAUAAAAUAAAUUUCUCUUAGAGUUAUUUUAUUUGAGACAGUCUUUUUGUUGUUUUUGUUAAGUUUCAAAUUGUUUGUCAAUACUUAAUUAGUUAGUCACAAAGCAUCAAAUGAAAAAAAAAAACUACACUAAGGAUAUGUAAUGUUAGGGAGUGACAAUACUUAAAAAACAAUUUUCUCUUGGACGCACACACACAUAUAAUUUUUAUAUUUAAUUUUCAAUUUGGGACUAAGUCUUUUAUUGUUAUUGUUGUUGUUAAGUUUCCAAUUGUUUUUCAAUGCUUGAUCUAGACUAAACAUGUUGAAUGAAAAAAAAAAGUAGAGGGUAAUUUAAUGUUAGGGGGUAAAAAUGUAGUUGUGUAAAUGUAUGUAUGAAUAUGUAAUUUGGCUCCCCCAAACUAAAAAUCCUGGCUAUGCCCCUGUCUGUUAGAGCCCAUGUAUCUUUUGCAUGAGAACAAUCCCAGAAGAUAUGAUCCUUUUUUUUUUUUUUAAUUAUAAAAUAAGGGGGAAAGCUCACUUAUUUAACGAGUCAACAUCAUAUGUACCAAGAUAAAUAUUAAAUUUGGAGCAAAAUUUGUUACUUUCAUAUAAAUAAAUAAAUUACUAAUAAUUUCUUCCACGUACAAGUUUUCAUUUCAUCAUUAAGGCUUUUACAUUAUUAAGGUUAUAACUGAUAGUUCAAUGGUAAUAGCAUUCUUGUGAGAGGGAGAGAGAGACCCAUUUUAUUCCAUCACACGGGAAAAAUAGGAAAUGGUGUUUUGGUAUAGUAAAAUAGGCUCAUUACAAAAUAGAUUCAUUUAAAAUUUAUAAUAGGGUAAGUAAAGUAUUAUAAAAUGUUUUUAAAAAAUCACUAAUUUUAUUCCAUCUUUUAUUUUUCCUUUUUGUCAUUCUCCUUGUCUGUUAUGCGAAGCGUUGAGGCACAACUUCUUGGGAUUGAACCUAAACCCUCUUUUAGUGGGAAAGUUGAGAAUGUUACUUGAAGCCUUGAACUAGGAGACUUGUAAGUCUAUUCGACCUUUGACAUUGUAAGAUGUUUUGACACGGGAAAAGUAGUAAAGGAUGUUUUGGCAUAUUGAAGUUGGAUCAUUACCAAAUUAGGGAUGGCAGUGGAAUAAAGUGGAGUCGGAUUACAGGUGUUCCAUCUCGCAGGAUUGUCGCCUAGUUUUACUUGCAUGUCAAUUUAAGCUAUCCCAUCUCUACUCCACGGGCCCAUCUCCUUCCACAUUUGUUAUAAUAAUCUAAAAUUAUACUUUAAAAAAUUACAAUUAAAUUAAUCUCAUCAAAUAAAACUAAUUUUUACUAAAAAAACUCAAUAAUAUAAACCAAAGUAUUUAAAAAGACAUUAAAAAAAAAGUCUUAAUAUCCAAACAUUUUAACACUUAAUAAUAUAAGUGAGGAUUGGGUAUUUGAAAAUAUAAAUAGAAUGAAGGACAUUUUUGUAAAUAUAUGCAAGGCGAGGUUGGUGAGGCAACCUAAAUCCAUACUUAUCUUGUCUCAGGUGCAAAAAAAUUUAGGAUAAAGUUUUUCUCCAAGUUAGUUUGAAGAAAAAUCUCUCAAAAUAAAUAAAUUAAAAUUUGUAGGGUUAAAUUAAAUUUUAAGUAAAAUUAGAAAAUAUAAUUUGUCAUUUAUUAGCCUAUUUUUUCUCUCAGCAAAAAUGCAAAAGAAACUAACAAUUAACAAAACGGCAAACGCGCACGCAUAUUAAUAUUUCGUUUCGAUGGAAGCGGGAAGUCUCCUCCGUAGUCACAUUCCAUCGAACCCUCCCAAACGCCCAAUACGUCGCCGUAUUGGCUCCUCUUUCCCGCGCUUCUUCUUCAUUUCUAGGGCUUCCUCUUCUUCUUCUUCAAAGUCAGAGCGAGGUUACAGAGGACCAAAGCCAAAGAGGGAUUGGGUUGCCGAUUGGGUCUCCAACAACGACGACGUCGUUCGGAGCUUGCCGAUUUACGUCGGAGGAGUCUCGCUCUUGGCAGUUCUGUUAAACCGCACCGUUUCGGGCAUUGCUCCUGUUGCUGAUGCUAGCAGGUAAUUGCUCUCAGUCUCAGAUAUCAAAUUUUUGAAAAAAAAUUUCAGCAUUCAUUGAAUUUGUGCUGGCUUGUUGUUAUGAACAUUUUCUUAGGCAUUGUUUAGGUCUAGUAGUUAUUUGCUUGAUUCUCUAGCUGAAUUUUCUUUUAAUUGAAUCACUUGAUUGAAUUGCUGUGUUAACGUGGUUGUGCAUGUGCUAUGGAAUGUCGAUUUAAUUUAAUAUAGGUUUAUUUGUGUGAUAAUAGCCUGGAUUGUUUGGAUUGGAUUAGCUCAUAUGAGUUUGUAUUGUGCGAACAUGUGUUGAGUAACAUAGCAGACGUGUACGAAUAGUCGAAUUGUAACUUGAUUAGUCCUUUGUGGGAUAAGCGCAAAUAUGACUAGUGCUUUUCUCGGAUCGUGACAAUUUGGCAUUAUGAAUUUCUUUUAUUGAGAAAUUGGUUAGUGCCAUUUGCAAUUUAUUUGCUCGUGUGUGUUGUGCUGGCAUGCUUUCAUAUUUUCUAGAUGGAGAUCGCAAGUGGUGGAUAGCUUGUUUUUGGAUCUUCGUUGGGGCAUCAAACAAACCAGAAUGUGUGCUUAUCGUAGCAUUCAGCUUGUGCUUGCUGCUUCUUUUGCUUCAUGAAAAGAUGUAUUUGUGUGAUUUCUUUGAAUAAUGAAUUGCUUAUGUUAAUAUUUACAAACUAGCUUUUAUGAUUCUAAGGUUCAAUACAAUGUUUGGUGGUUGUACUUUCCAUAAAAACAUCCUAGAGCUGUUGGAUAUCUUUGUACUGUUCGCAGGUAAUGCCUUCUUGAUGAGUUUGUGCGUUUGCACGUGACUCUAUGUCGCCAUUAUAGUGUUCAGUUUCAUAGCAUGUUUAGUGUGUACCUUUCAGAAACUUGCUUUGCAUUAACUAGGAUUCUAGUAUGUUCCAAUUCAAGAUAGAGAACUCGUAAAAAAAUGAAUAAUUUUACACUAGCUCUCUCAACCUACCCCAAUGCUCCUUUUAGGCUUGGGAUCAACUGUGUACAAAAAUUUAAGUCAAUGCUUGCCGCUUCAUUUGCUUCAUGAAGAGAUGUAUUUGUGUUCACUGAUCAAAAAGAGUGAUCCAUGUUAAUAGUUACAAGCAAGCAUGAUUAUCCUCAAAGUCAAUACAAUCUUUGGUGGUUUUGCUUUUCACAAAAACGCCUUAUAGCUGCGGGAACACUUGGGAUUUCUCUGUUCAGUUUGCGGGUAAUGCCUUCUAGUUAAGUCUGUGUGUGCACAUGCAUGUGACUCUGUGUAGUGGGCAUAAAGUUGGGUUACAUAGCACGCUUGUGGCUAACAAAGAUUCAAAGCCCUGACACAUUCAGAAUUGAAAUCAAGCUGGGACAUAUUGCUUCUUCUUUGUUGAAGAAGACUAUACGUCAAAUAAAUUAUGCUUUUUUUACUUUUAUAGAAGAUAGAACUUCCUCAAAGUUUUCUUGCUCUGAUUUGCUGUCUUACAUUUUUCUCAAGCAUGUUUAGACUAAAAUCUAAUCAUUUUCUUUAUUAUUAUGUCCUCAUAUUCACGUGAGAUUUAUUAUGCAGUUCACAGUCAAGAUCUGAUCUUUUGACGCUUGGUUUGGCAGUCACUAACAUCCUAACUGGUCUGGUAUGGCUGUCAAUCCGACCAAAAUCUAUAUCUGUGGUGAGGGCUUCACACCUGCUUUUCAACCCCAAUUUCUCUCUCAUUUAGCUGAUUGGCUUACUAGAUCUAAUUUUCAAUCGAUUAUAUCAGAGUUUGCUUUUAAUAGUUUUGUUCUGAUUUCAGGUAAGUCCUCAAGGGGUUGAAUGUCAGAGAAUAUGUUCUAAUCUCCCUGAUUCUGUGGUUUCUGAGUUACUGUGGUAAUACACAUUAUUUCACGUUUUCUACAAUGUUCAAGGACAAUAUUUAUUCUCUAAUAAUCUGCUUUAUCAUUUUUUUUACUCUAUUGGUUUGUACUCACUUGUAAAAUUCAUAACCAUUUUUUGUUACAGAAUAACGGCUACUUUUCUUUUAUAUCAUCUUAUCAACUGAAAGAAGACAACAGAUAUCAUACAGCCAAUUUUUUUCUCUAUAGUGCUAAUUUUCAAAAGAUAGGGACUUAAAAUGCGAAUUGGAUGUCUCACUUGUGAUAUUUUAAUUAAAAGCCACUAGCCCCAAUUCCCUGUGUCUUUCAAAUAAUGGCAUGGUUUCGUAAUGAAUAAAGAGAUAUUAAAUAGUGAGCCAAUCUACAGGAUAAUAAUGUCUUGCUGAUAUCAAAGAAAAGUUCUUGUGAUUUGUAGGUAGAGAAACAAUUCAGCCUGUUUAAUAUGUGCUUUUUCAUUGCUUAUUCCACAGGGUAUGGGAGUCUUUGUCAAAUGUGACGUGCUGCAGGUCUCUAAUUGUUGUUUAUGACAGCCGUGUUAUCCUUCAAAUUGGUUGUGCAGCCAAAUCUUCAUUUGGUGAUGGUGAAGCUGUGGCUGUGGAUGCCAAUAAACUAAUGCAAGGAUCACUCUGUCAGGGUGUUAUAAAAGCUGGAGCUCGUAAGUUAUUAACUUCAUAUUAUUCAUUGGAGGUUUCAAGUAUUUAGAACGUGAUAUAAUUAUCGCAAGAUGUCCACCAAAACAUAUGAUCUUAAAACCACCCAUUUGCACAUAAUUUUGCAGAGAGCUACUUGGCCAACCUAUCUCUUUAUCCUGGGAAGUCUGAGCUGCCAUUUCUGCCUUCAAAUACACAGGUAUCCCGCAUGUACUCAGGUUGAUUGUGCUGUGCAACCACAAGGUUUAGAAAGGUUCAUUUCAAAGGUUCACUAUUACAAGUCUCACUUUGCUAGGCAGUAAUUCUGCAACCACUUGGAGAGAAAGGAAUUGCAAUAAUUGGUGGUGACACAAUCAGGGGUUUCACGAGUUCUGACCAGGUGUUUCUCUGUUAGCUUGCAAAUUUUAACCUCCGUGUAUCUGUUUGUCAUAAGAUACUUGGCAUGACAAAUCACAAGUGUUUUUAUCAUUCCAUUCCUUUAGACUUUUGACUAAAAAUAUUCUCAAUAAAAAAUUGAGGUGGCCCUGACAUUCCUCUUACCAUAAAGCCUUGAUGUUCAUAUUCGUAUUAUGAGCUAUCACUUGGCUGAAACCAAGUGAUCUUGGGGUCUUUAUCAAACUUUUUUUCUAGCACUUCCAUAUUUUGGUCACUUUUGCAUGCUUGUCUGCACGGUGACACAUCAUUGUGAUCUAUAUAGGCUCUAUCCCUUUUUCAAGCGUGGCAAGGCCAUUCAUACUUGUAAUUUUUUUAAUCUUAAAUCAUUUUCAGUCCUUUUGAUAGAGGAGACUUGAAUCAACAAGCCAAUGGAACCUGCUUUUUGUCUUUCAUAAAUGUGAUUAUGCAUGUUGCUAAUCUUUUCUGAAAAAGAACUUUGGAAUCAGAUAACUUCAUUACGCCAGUUGAUCAAACUUGUUAACACACUGGAAUCAAUUUUGUGAACAGGAUUUUAUUUUUUACUAUUAUUAUUUUUAUUUUGUCUUUGGUAGUGAUUGGAGUAAAUAUUUAUAUGAUGACAGUCAUGGAUUACGUUAAUUGGAGAGAAGCUGGAUGCUACGCUUGCAAAGAACUUGAAUAGCCUCCCAUUGGCCGUCCAAGAUUGACUUUGAAAGAACUACCGAGUUAAAGCUUAUCAAAAUAUCAUGUGCGUAUAACAUUUGUGUGGCCUUUUAAGCAAGGUAAUUUUUCGUUCUUGUUUUGCUGCAUUUAAGCAAAUUUUGUUGUUGAUGUUUCAAUUGAUUACUUUAAGAAAGGGGGUGCAAAGUUUGAUGCGGUGCAUCUUGUCCUGUACUUUCAUGAGAUAGUUUUUCCUGUGAUUAUGAAUUUCUGCUUGGGCAAACACAAAAACUUAGAAGAUAAAAACCAAAAUGAAGAAGAUUAACCCGGUAUUUUUCUUCUAUGAAAAGACCUCUUUGAUAUCAAAAUUUUAAAUUCCAUUAUAAAUUAGUCUAUGCAAUACAUUUGAAAACUUGACGUCUAACAAUUGAAAAUUCCAUUAUAAUCUGAAAGUUAGCCACUUUUUUUUUUUUUAGAGAAUCAAAAGUUAGCCACUUAUAUAUAUUUGACUCCCUCCUUUUCCCUUGCUCCCGCCUCUAUAUCUAGAUGUACCUAUAGCAACCUAGCUAGCAUGGAACAUCAGUGGCAAAACAAAGACUUAAUCUAAUCUCAAAUACCCAAGCUGUUGGUCAAAUCAUUAGAACUCUUCUGAAUAUGUGAAAUUCUCCACACAAAAAAACCCAUAGUUUUUUAAAUUUUUAAGAAUGCUUUCUAUUCUUGGCUUAUUGAAUGGGUUAUCUUCACUGCUAGUGUAGCAGAUAUAAAUAGAUUCUUACCAAAGUAGGGAAAAAAAAGACUUUUUAGUGUCUUCCAAAUUAAGUUAAUUGUGGCCUCAUUUCAAUUUGUUUGCCAUCACAAGCUGUACUUGUACUCCACCUAUCCAGUAGUUAAAAGCAUAAAAAUUCUUGUUCAGAUUAUUACCUUAUACUUCCCUUUGAAAUCACUUCAAUGUAUGCUGGAUCACGCUCUCUCUCUCUCUCUCUCUCUCUCUCUCUCUCUCACAAAAUUUUGAGGUGUGUUAUGCUUUAUUUUUCUUUUUUAGAUUUUGCAAGCAUCAGUCUUACUUUAAAGCAGGAAUAACUUGCUUUGAAAAUUUUUUGAGGUGAGGUGCUAUACUUUAUUUUCCUGUUGUAGAUUUUGCAAGCAGUAAUCUCACUUUAAAGAGGGGAAUAACUUGCGUAGUUAAUAUAUUCUUUCUAAACUUUUGCAUUUCCUUUCUAACAAAUGUACUUAGAAAAUUUAAAAAAGGAACUCAAACAUGUUGUUAGGUGUUGAAUUAUUGAAUACCUAACCCCCGCCCUCUUUUUUCCCCCUCCCCCUGGUGCACUGAACUUUCUUAUGUUUCCCUUGUAUGCAUGCAUGUUUUGUUUUGCCAAUGUUAUAUAUGAAUAUGGUUAACCCCAAGUGGUUGGCCUAGUGAUUUCCAACUCUCAUGACAUCCAUAAAAACUUGGGUUCAAGUUUCCUAGCCAAUACCUUUGGGCUACCCCCAAAGGAUUCUUCCCUGGGAAUAAGUACCUAGUGUGUGUGGGACCGGGGAACUACUCACAUCCAGGAAAUUAGUCUAGUGCUUUAAGAGUCCUAGACACCCACGCGACACGUCAGCAAAAAUAUAUAUAUGAAUAUGGUUAAACUGACUGCAUGCAUGUUUUGUUUUGCCAUGUUAUGGAUGUAAAUAGUUAAACUGACUUGAAUUUAUGCCUAUCUUCCACUUUCAGCAAAUCUUAUGGCAACAACUUGCAAACUAGAGUGA